AUGGAUCCCACCGCCGGCGAGAAGCCGCACGCCGUGUGCCUGCCGUUCCCGGCGCAGGGGCACAUCACGCCGAUGAUGAAGCUGGCCAAGGUGCUCCGCUGCAGGGGCUUCCACGUCACCUUUGUCAGCACCGAGUACAACCACCGCCGCCUCGUCCGCUCCCGCGGCCCGAGCGCCGUCGCGGGCCUCCCCGGCUUCGCCUUCGCCACCAUCCCGGACGGACUGCCCUCGUCGGACGCCGACGCCACGCAAGACCCGGCGUCGAUCUCCUACUCCACCAUGACCACCUGCCUCCCCCACUUCAGGAACCUACUCGCUGGCCUCAACGGCAGCACAUCCGGGGCGCCGCCGGUCACGUGCGUCGUGGCGGACGGCCUCAUGAGCUUCGCCGUGGACGCCGCGAGGGAGCUCGGCGUGCCGUGCGCGCUCUUCUGGACGGCCAGCGCCUGCGGCUACAUGGGCUACCGCAACUUCCGCCCUCUCAUCGACCGGGGCAUCAUUCCCCUCAAAGACGAAGAGCAGCUGACGAACGGGUUCAUGGACAUGCCGGUGGACUGGGCGCCCGGGCUGAGCAAGCACAUGCGGCUGAAGGACUUCCCGAGCUUCCUCCGCACGACGGACCGCGACGACACCCUGCUGACCUUCCAGCUACACCAAGUCGAGCGCGCCGAGGCCGCGGACGCCGUCAUCAUCAACACCAUGGACGAGCUCGAGCAGCCGGCGCUGGACGCGAUGCGCGCCAUCAUACCGGCCAUCUACACCAUCGGCCCGCUCAACUCCCUCGCCGACCAAAUCAUCCCCCGUGGGGACCCCCUGCGCGCGGUGAGCUCCAGCCUCUGGAAAGAGGACGACACCUGCCUCCAGUGGCUCGACGGCAAGAGGACCCGCUCCGUGGUGUACGUGAACUUCGGGAGCGUGACCGUGAUGAGCAGCCACGAGCUGGCGGAGUUCGCGUGGGGGCUGGCCAACAGCGGCCAGGAGUUCCUCUGGAUCGUCAGGCCGGACGUCGUGAGGAGCAGCGAGGCCGCCGGCGCCGGCGCCGCGCUGCCCCCCGGGUUCCUGGAGGCGACCAGGGACAGGGGCCUCGUGGCGAGCUGGUGCGACCAGGAGGCGGUGCUGCGGCACGACGCCGUGUGCGCGUUCCUGACGCACAGCGGGUGGAACUCGACGGCGGAGGCCCUCUGCGGCGGCGUGCCGAUGCUGUGCUGGCCCUUCUUCGCGGAGCAGCAGACCAACUGCCGGUACAAGUGCGCCGAGUGGGGGGUGGCGAUGGAGAUCGGCGACAACGUGCGGCGGGAGGUGGUCCAGCGGAGGAUCGAGGAGGCGGUGGGCGGGGAGAAGGGAAGGGAGAUGAGGAAGAGAGCGGCCGAGUGGAGGGAGGUGGCUGUCCGGUCCAUGGCAAGAUCGUUGACCAAUCUUGAUUCGCUCAUCCAUGGUGUGUUGCUAUCUGGCAAGAAUAGUUAG
rnacentral:rRNA from 1 species